rnacentral:rRNA from 1 species
UUAAAAAGUGGAGCUUAACUCCAUCAUGGCAGUGGAAACUGUUGGGCUUGAGUGUGGUAGGGGCAGAGGGAAUUCCCGGUGUAGCGGUGAAAUGCGUAGAUAUCGGGAAGAACACCAGUGGCGAAGGCGCUCUGCUGGGCCAUCACUGACGCUCAUGGACGAAAGCCAGGGGAGCGAAAGGGAUUAGAUACCCCUGUAGUCCUGGCCGUAAACGAUGAACACUAGGUGUCGGGGGAAUCGACCCCCUCGGUGUCGUAGCCAACGCGUUAAGUGUUCCGCCUGGGGAGUACGCACGCAAGUGUGAAACUCAAAGGAAUUGACGGGGGCCCGCACAAGCGGUGGAGUAUGUGGUUUAAUUCGAUGCAACGCGAAGAACCUUACCAGGGUUUGACAUCCUGCGAAUCUCUUGGAAACGAGAGAGUGCCUUCGGGAACGCAGUGACAGGUGGUGCAUGGCUGUCGUCAGCUCGUGUCGUGAGAUGUUGGGUUAAGUCCCGCAACGAGCGCAACCCACGUCUUUAGUUGCCAGCAUUUAGUUGGGCACUCUAGAGAGACCGCCGGUGAUAAACCGGAGGAAGGUGUGGAUGACGUCAAGUCAUCAUGCCCCUUACAUCCUGGGCUACACACGUACUACAAUGCUACGGACAAAGGGCAGCAAGUUCGCGAGGACAAGCAAAUCCCAUAAACCGUGGCUCAGUUCAGAUCGUAG